AUAUAUAUCACUAAUUGUAUUUAAAAUCAAUAAUAAAUAGCUCUAAUUCUAAACUCAUUUUUUCAAAGUCUUACUAACUUAUUUCCUUAUUUGUUCCUAUCUAUUUAAUAGUAGUAUAAUCUACAACCUGAUAUCAAGGAUUAUCAAAUCAUCAACAAAGAAAAUCUAUAUUUCCCAAACAAACGUUUGUAUCUACAUUUAUUAAUAUAGACAUUCUCUUAAUAUUAUACACGGAAUCUCAAGAGCAUAUUCCAAUACUGAAACUAAAUUUUACGUAACUAGCAAGAUUGUAUAAGAUUUAUUGUUUUAAAACCUAGAAAAUUAUUUAUGAAUUCGCCGACUUCUUUUUAGUAUAAAUAUUGUAGUGAUCUAUAUCAUUUCCAAUUCACCGAAACCUCUUAAAUCUCUUUUAUUCCAAAACCGAAACAUACACACAAAAGAGAGAAAAUAUUGAGUGACUACAAAGUGUCAAAGAUAAAAUGUAAACCAGAAAAACAACUUCUCUACUUUUUUGUUUUGUUUAUUAUUCACAAUGUAAUUCUGGUAUAUGGUUUUUUUUUUUUUUUUUUUGUAUGAACAUAUGGUUCUUCUUAUUCCAGGUUAGAUGGAAACAUGAAUGUUAAGAGAAGCGUGUGAUGGUGUGUAUCAAAAGUUGUUGGAACUUUGCAUCCAUUUUCGUUUGAACUUUCUUAAAAAUCUUAUGCUUUUGUUUUGUCUUUACUAUUUUCCUGACAUGAUACAUAUUUAUUGUGUGUAACUAGAUUUUAACCCGCGGUACACCGCGGGUCUAUAAUUUUAUUAAAUAAUAAUAAUUUUUUUUUUUAAGAUGAUCUAUAGAUAUAUGCUAUUGUUUUAUUUGAUUUAAAUGUAUGGUACACUGUAUGACGAUUUUUAUAACAAAAGAUUUAAAAUUUGAAGUUUUAUUUGUUUUGUUAAUAUUAUUUGUUUAGUUUUGUUUAGUGUUUAAGAUUGUAUAGUUAUAUUUUGAUUGUUAAUUAUAGAAUUUUACCCGUAGUAUAUCAUACUGUAUUAAUAUCGACCACAAACUCGUCCGCAACCAUAUAACUCUGUCCCGUCCAAUCUACAUCAUUUUGUCAUUUUCCAAUAAAAUUCAAAGAUUUCUAAUAUUUGAAACUUCAUUUAAUAUCGACCCAAAAUUCAUAAUAGUAUUUUGAUUGUUAUAUCUAGGAUUUCACCCGUAAUAUAUCGUCCCGUAUCUUUU
rnacentral:lncRNA from 1 species